ensembl:snoRNA small nucleolar RNA SNORD88
GACCCCCGAUGAUGUCAGCACUGGGCUCCGACCACCUGUGAUGACAUCGGUGCCUCUUGGGGACUUGACACCCCAGGGACUGAGGGGGGC